rnacentral:snRNA from 1 species
GUGCUUGCUUCAGUGGCACAUGCACUAAAAUUGGAACAGUACAGAGAAGAUUAGCAUGGCCCCUGCACAAGGCUGACACACAAAUUCAUGAAGUGCUUCAUAUUUUU